GAUGAACGCUGGCGGCGUGCCUAAUACAUGCAAGUCGAGCGAACGGACGAGAAGCUUGCUUCUCUGAUGUUAGCGGCGGACGGGUGAGUAACACGUGGAUAACCUACCUAUAAGACUGGGAUAACUUCGGGAAACCGGAGCUAAUACCGGAUAAUAUUUUGAACCGCAUGGUUCAAAAGUGAAAGACGGUCUUGCUGUCACUUAUAGAUGGAUCCGCGCUGCAUUAGCUAGUUGGUAAGGUAACGGCUUACCAAGGCAACGAUGCAUAGCCGACCUGAGAGGGUGAUCGGCCACACUGGAACUGAGACACGGUCCAGACUCCUACGGGAGGCAGCAGUAGGGAAUCUUCCGCAAUGGGCGAAAGCCUGACGGAGCAACGCCGCGUGAGUGAUGAAGGUCUUCGGAUCGUAAAACUCUGUUAUUAGGGAAGAACAUAUGUGUAAGUAACUGUGCACAUCUUGACGGUACCUAAUCAGAAAGCCACGGCUAACUACGUGCCAGCAGCCGCGGUAAUACGUAGGUGGCAAGCGUUAUCCGGAAUUAUUGGGCGUAAAGCGCGCGUAGGCGGUUUUUUAAGUCUGAUGUGAAAGCCCACGGCUCAACCGUGGAGGGUCAUUGGAAACUGGAAAACUUGAGUGCAGAAGAGGAAAGUGGAAUUCCAUGUGUAGCGGUGAAAUGCGCAGAGAUAUGGAGGAACACCAGUGGCGAAGGCGACUUUCUGGUCUGUAACUGACGCUGAUGUGCGAAAGCGUGGGGAUCAAACAGGAUUAGAUACCCUGGUAGUCCACGCCGUAAACGAUGAGUGCUAAGUGUUAGGGGGUUUCCGCCCCUUAGUGCUGCAGCUAACGCAUUAAGCACUCCGCCUGGGGAGUACGACCGCAAGGUUGAAACUCAAAGGAAUUGACGGGGACCCGCACAAGCGGUGGAGCAUGUGGUUUAAUUCGAAGCAACGCGAAGAACCUUACCAAAUCUUGACAUCCUUUGACGACUCUAGAGAUAGAGCCUUCCCCUUCGGGGGACAAAGUGACAGGUGGUGCAUGGUUGUCGUCAGCUCGUGUCGUGAGAUGUUGGGUUAAGUCCCGCAACGAGCGCAACCCUUAAGCUUAGUUGCCAUCAUUAAGUUGGGCACUCUAAGUUGACUGCCGGUGACAAACCGGAGGAAGGUGGGGAUGACGUCAAAUCAUCAUGCCCCUUAUGAUUUGGGCUACACACGUGCUACAAUGGACAAUACAAAGGGCAGCGAAACCGCGAGGUCAAGCAAAUCCCAUAAAGUUGUUCUCAGUUCGGAUUGUAGUCUGCAACUCGACUACAUGAAGCUGGAAUCGCUAGUAAUCGUAGAUCAGCAUGCUACGGUGAAUACGUUCCCGGGUCU
rnacentral:rRNA from 1 species